UACGGAGGGUGCGAGCGUUGUUCGGAAUCACUGGGCGUAAAGCGCGUGUAGGCGGCCCCACUAAGUCUGAUGUGAAAGCCCGGGGCUCACCCCCGGAAGUGCAUUGGAAACUGGUGGACUAGAGUCCCGGAGAGGAGAGUGGAAUUCCUGGUGUAGCGGUGAAAUGCGUAGAUAUCAGGAGGAACACCGGUGGCGAAGGCGGCUCUCUGGACGGUGACUGACGCUGAGACGCGAAAGCGUGGGGAGCAACAGG
rnacentral:rRNA from 1 species